rnacentral:lncRNA from 1 species
GGCGACGGGGAACAGCGGCGCCAACAAGCGCGGUGCAGUCUCUGAGGUGGACGUCCCCAAGGUACAGUAGGUCUUGGUCAUGACAGCUCUGCCGCAGACAAGUAAAGAGAAUGGACAGUGGAAACUCCAUCAGAAUUGCCCAUUGGAGACGUGCUAUCUGAGACUCGGCUCUGCUUUGCUGUGCAGGUGCUGCAGAGCCUGCCCUGGUUUUCAGACACCCGAGCCAGGCGCGACAUGGCCGCCAGCGCCAUGAGCGGCGAGGGCUCCUUCGGGGCCGUUGAGGUGCACACGGCCCUGCAGGCAGCCCACAAGCUGGUCUGGGACCACGAACUGAUGCAUGGUGCGCGCCUGCCCUGUCCUUUUCCUUACAAACUGGGAAACCACCCGUGCUAGUUGUUGAGCUGGAAUUGAAUGCACAGAAGUGCUUACGGCAGUUGCUGGCUGCUAGGCAGGUCAAAGGCAACCCCGUCUGAUCAGGAUCCUUUGGUAAAUCCUAACAAAAAUUACCUCCUCUAGAAAUAGUGUGGCAUGCGUGUGCAGGGCGCGAUGAGUUUGUGGGGGAGACAUGGCCGGGCUUCCUGAGGAGCCUGGAGGCGCAGUUUCUGACCUCCAAGAAGCUGGACAGAAUGUCCGACCUCAAGCUGCUCUUCACUGCGCUCCUCAACUUCACUCCCGCCGACCAGAUCUGAGGCUGACAUGACCUCAUUGGUGACUGGAUACCUGAUCAAGACGCAUGUGGUCAAGAGGCUGCCAUGCAGAACAGUCAAGCGCUGAUGUGCUUGUUUUGAUACCUGGUCUGGACAUGGUAGAUGAAUUAGCUUGCAGAGGAGCCAAGGGACAUGGUUCCCCUAGUACUGUAUUUAUGACUUCUGAGUAUAUUCCUGUCCUGCACGAAAAGGAAAGGCGGUACCGGAUCUGUUGUAAACACCAUUGCCAAGA